AGAAAUUGUCUUUAAUUCCAUUUUCUUUUCUUUCUUUCUUUCUUUCUUUCUUUUUUUAAUAAUUUUCUUUAUUCUCAAACACAUAAUUGAAUUUGUCACCCUGUUAAAGUCUUUAGACUCUUAAGUAGACUGAUCCUUUCAGUCCUUAUCAGUAGUAUUUUAGAUUUUUUUUGUUAUGGAAAUUUUCAUGUAAUCUAUCUAUCUGUCUGUCUGUCUGUAUUUAAAUAAAGUUGUUACAGCUGUGUGCCAUCAUGCCUGCCUGCUUAGGCUGGUCUCCCUCCCUCCUCUCCAAGUGUUCUGAGAGAGGUCCUUGCUGUCCUGGAACUUGCUCUGUUGCUUAUGCUUCCUCCAGCUUGGUCCUCCUCCUCACCAGGGUUGGGUCUCUGGGGUUAUAAGUGUGAGAGGCCACACCAGGGUUCACCUUUCUAGUCCUUAGUAGGAUUACAGUCUGAAAUGAGGGAGCUCCCUGCUUUGUUCCCCACGGUGCCUAAGCACAGUGUGUGCAGGAAGUAUCUAUCGGUGAGAGGGAAGAACUGAGCUAGAGAAGCUGGGAGAGAGGUGACCUGUUCCUCAGAGCAAGGCGGAGGGCAGGGAAAAGGGCAGGUUUGAGCCAAGAUUGAAGGUGAACAGGGUAGAGGUAAGAAAGCAAAGAAAUGCCAGCUGGUCAGAGGUCUGCUUUGUCGCUGCAGUGGAGAAGCCCGGUGCAUAAUUUAGUAGUGCUCAGUAAAUGACUUCAUUAAAGAUAUUCUUGGGCUGAUUUGGAGUUGGAGAGCAGAGUUGAUAUUCCAGGUUCCAGGUGGGAAGCCGUAUAAAUUGUGCCAGAGAAAGCUCCGAGGUAUGAACAAGAACUGUGAAGUGUCCAUGGGAGUGAGUGUUGGUCGGUUAAGUCUGUGACUUUGACUCUGGGCACCAUUGCUUAGGGCCAGGGGGCCCAAGUCUAGUUUCUUUCUUUCUUUCUUUCUUUCUUUCUUUUCUUUCUUUCUUUCUUUUUUUUUUUUUUUUUUUCUGAAACAGGGUUUCUCUGUGUAGUCCUGGCUGUCCUGGAACUCACUCUGUAGACCAGGCUGGCCUCGAACUCAGAAAUCCCUUGCCUCUGCCUCUCAAGUGCUGGGAUUUCAAGGCAUGUGCCACCACCAAGUAACAUGAAUCUGAAUUUACCUGAAAGAACCUGCAUCUUAGCCCCUUACCUGCCAGUGAGCAUGGUCCUAGACAGAGAAUAAAUGCCUGAUCUCAAAAGGAAUGAACGGAGGGGGCCAGAGUGGGAACACAGACCGCAGGCAACCAGGACCAGUUCCUAUUCAGAUGCUCUGAGACAUAUCACCACAUCUGCACCAGCAGCCGCCACACCAACAGCAGCAGGUUUCUCUAAUAACCAAUAAGCU
rnacentral:lncRNA from 1 species